AGUAGAAAGGGUAAACAGAGAACAGAACUUCCAGACAAAGGAAAUAGUAUGCUCGAAGGCCCAGGGGUGGGAGCAAAGCUGAAGGUCUGGAAACACAUGUACUUGCAGAAAAUAGCUGGAUCCUUGUAUCUGCUUUUGCAUUCCAUCUGCGGUUGUAUUAUAUGCCACGUAGUCUCUGGAAACCUACGAGAGAAGAGGAUGAAAGGCAAAUGACGUCUUAGUAUGACUGUGAAAAGAGUGUUGCCCUCAUAGACCCCAUUGAAGCUUCUCAGGGAUCCCAUGGAUUCCCGGACCACCCUUUGAGAAACUUCUGGGGUAAAAGAUAAAUUGGAUAAAUGUGCCCACGUUUCCAUCAUCUGGACGUAUUUUUUUAAUUAUUAAAACAUUUUAAAACA